rnacentral:rRNA from 1 species
GACGAACGCUGGCGGCGUGCUUAACACAUGCAAGUCGAACGGAAAGGCCCUGCUUUUGUGGGGUGCUCGAGUGGCGAACGGGUGAGUAACACGUGAGUAACCUGCCCUUGACUUUGGGAUAACUUCAGGAAACUGGGGCUAAUACCGGAUAGGAGCUCCUGCUGCAUGGUGGGGGUUGGAAAGUUUCGGCGGUUGGGGAUGGACUCGCGGCUUAUCAGCUUGUUGGUGGGGUAGUGGCUUACCAAGGCUUUGACGGGUAGCCGGCCUGAGCGGGUGACCGGCGACAUUGGGACUGAGAUACGGCCCAGCCUCCGACGGGAGGCAGCAGUGGGGAAUAUUGCGCAAUGGGGGGAAGCGUGAUGCAGCAACGCCGCGUGCGGGAGGACGGCCUUCGGGUUGUAAACCGCUUUCGCCUGUGACGAAGCGUGAGUGACGGUAAUGGGUAAAGAAGCACCGGCUAACUACGUG